rnacentral:misc_RNA from 1 species
UGCAGUGUCCCGCCGGGCAGCACGACGCGAGGAAGCCUGCUGGUCCGUCCGCGACUCACACACUGUUCCAGGUGCGAACGCCAAACCCCGGUUGUUGCUGCCAUGCUGUCGUCGGUGGUAGCCCUGGUGCCGGCGCUGGGCGUCAUGGAGGUGCUGAUUGCCCUCGUGGUGCUACUCGUCGUGCGACAUUACUAUCGGACUGCGGGGUUCUGGUCGCGGAAAGGCGUGCCCUCCGCUCCGGGAGUUCCAAUCUUCGGAAGCUCCAUCCCAUUCGUACUUCAAAGUGAAUAUCGAGGCUACAGUAUGCAGCGCUUCUACAAGGACGCUCGAGCCAAGGAUCAACCGUGCGUUGGGCUAUUCAUCGGCUCGAGACCCGUUCUGCUGCUAACUGAUAUGGAUCUCAUCCGCGCGGUCAUGGUGAAGGACUUCUCGCACUUCAUGGACCGCGGACUGCCCUACGACCGCCAGGGGGAGCCGCUCACGGCCAACCUGUUCAACCUUGAGGGCGCCGAGUGGCGGUCGCUGCGCCACAAGUUGACGCCCACCUUCACGUCGGGCCGCAUGCGCGCCAUGUUCCCCCUGGUGAGCGCGUGCGCCGACGAGCUGCAGCACGUCCUGGCCGCCGAGGCCGCCGCGGGCAAGCCCGUCGAGAUGUUCGAGCUGCUGGCGCGCUUCACCACGGACGUCAUCGGCACCUGCGCCUUCGGCAUCCAGGCCAACGCGCUGAAGGACCCUCAAGCCGAGUUCCGCCUCAUGGGCAGGAAGGCCUUCGAGAUCCCCAAGAUGGCGAUGGCGUUCCUGCUGGUGGUGCCCCAGUUGCUUCCUUUCUUCAAGAAGGUUUUCUCAGUCCGUCUCAUCAACAAAAAAGUGGCCGACUUCUUCAACGGUGUAUUUCAAGAGACUAUACAGCACCGACAGAAGAACAACGUAUUGCGUCACGACUUCGUCGAUUUGCUGAUGCAAAUCAAGACUAAGGGCCAGUUGGCAGAGGAUGACGGCACCCUCAGAGCGGAAGCCGCAGGCGGCAUCGACGAGGACCUGCUGCCGGCGCAGGCCUUCGUCUUCUUCCUGGCGGGCUUCGAGACGUCCUCCAGUGCGCUGGGCAACCUCAUGACGGAGCUGGCGCACAACCCGGACGUGCAGGACAAGGCGCGCGCCGAGGUGGAGCGCGUGCUGGCCAAGCACGGCGGCAAGCUCACCUACGAGGCGCUCGGCGAGCUCACCUACAUGGACCGCGUCAUCGACGAGACGAUGCGGCUGUACCCCGCCGCUUCAAUCCUGUCCCGCGUCGUGACGGAGGACUACACGCUGCCGUUCCCGGGCAAGGACGGCAAGCCCGCGGUGCUGGAGAAGGGCCUCCAGGUCAUCAUCCCGACGUUCGCCCUGCACCGCGACCCGGAGUAUUUCCCGGAGCCCGACAAGUUCGACCCGGAGCGCUUCACGGAGGAGGCCAAGCGCAGUCGGCCGCACUACAGCUACAUACCGUUCGGAGAGGGCCCACGAGUUUGCAUCGGUCUGCGCUUCGCCAUGAUGCAGAUGAAGGCUGGUCUGUCCGCGAUACUCCUCAAGUUCCGCGUGCUGCCGGUGGAGGGAGCCAACGACUACCCGGCACAGUUCGAGCCUGUGUCCUUCGUGACCAAGACGAUCGGUGGCAACAAAGUGAUUCUGCAACCAGUGGAACAGAAAUCAUAACUCUGCAACCUGAAGAGAUUGACUUCGAACAGAACAGGCCGCACUGCUAACUCAUUGUGGACUUACCUGAUGAUGGGGCGCACGAUGUGUUCCAGAAACAUGUUCGCGGCCAAGUGUUUUAUUUCUGCUUGCUGGAGCUUCGUAGAGCAGAGGGUUUGAGGAGAAGUGCAUUGAUUGGCAAGUCAUCGCCCGGACUGAGCUGUGAGAGUUCUGAGAUGUAACACCAGAAGUACAGUUUUGUAAUUGCCAUGCUUAUUGGUUAGGCUACAUGAAGGGGGCGUAUUUAAUUUGUGAUUUAGAUUUAUCAAUUGUUAGUUAGUCUGUACGGCAGUAGGGUAAGUUCUUUAGUUGGAAGUCUGUCAUGAUUAUUCCUCAUAGCGCAAUAGGAUUCUGAUGUUUGAACCAACUGUCCGGGAAACCAUUGAAAUAAAAUCAUUUCCGUUUUGACAACUACAUCGUGUUUAUAAUUUAUUGAACAGCUCUUAAACACACGCUAAAUGUUCAUGCACAAUUUGGAACGUGGUGAUGCAUGAUUUAAAACCUGUGUACCACUGUACAUAAUGUUGUGCUCAUAUUUGCAUAAAUUUAUACAUUUCACGCAUAAUAAUAUGCAAAUUCCACGUACGCAAAAAAUCGUGCAAUCACUGCGAGAUAAAUGUUGAAAUAAUAAUGAAUAAACAAAAUGAUCUAAUUAUCUUUGAAAUUGGCAUAUUUGUCUGCGACAUUUGUCAUACUUGUUACCCGUGUACUUAAUCUCGUCAUUCAACUGUUCCCUCCUAGUCCUGUCUUUUGUUCCUUGUCAUGAGUCAGUCUGAAAUAAAAAUGAGACCAUGUGAAGCCUGUUUUGUCCCUUAUCCAAUUGAAUCCUGAAUCGUCGAUAAUUUAGAGUGCCAUCUGUUAAAUUUGUGAUUUAGCCUAUCAAUUCUUUAGUCCGUAAGGUAGUAGAGUAAGGUUCUUAGUUGUUAGCUGUUAGCUGUAAGUCUGUCUUCUCAAUUUCUCAUCACGCAAUAGUUUUCUCAUACUUGUAUCC